rnacentral:rRNA from 1 species
AUUGAACGCUGGCGGCAGGCCUAACACAUGCAAGUCGAACGGUAACAGGAAACAGCUUGCUGUUUCGCUGACGAGUGGCGGAUGGGUGAGUAAUGUCUGGGAAACUGCCUGAUGGAGGGGGAUAACUACUGGAAACGGUAGCUAAUACCGCAUAACGUCGCAAGACCAAAGAGGGGGACCCUCGGGCCUCUUGCCAUCGGAUGUGCCCAGAUGGGAUUAGCUUGUUGGUGGGGUAACGGCUCACCAAGGCGACGAUCCCUAGCUGGUCUGAGAGGAUGACCAGCCACACUGGAACUGAGACACGGUCCAGACUCCUACGGGAGGCAGCAGUGGGGAAUAUUGCACAAUGGGCGCAAGCCUGAUGCAGCCAUGCCGCGUGUAUGAAGAAGGCCUUCGGGUUGUAAAGUACUUUCAGCGGGGAGGAAGGGAGUAAAGUUAAUACCUUUGCUCAUUGACGUUACCCGCAGAAGAAGCACCGGCUAACUCCGUG